UACGACUACAUAUCAGGCAUAUCAAUAAGCGGAGGAAAAGAAACUAACUAGGAUUCCCUUAGUAACGGCGAGUGAAGCGGGAAGAGCUCAAAUUUGAAAUCUUCAAGGUUUUACCUUGACGAAUUGUAGUUUAAAGAAGUGUUUUCUGUUGGAUGUUUUGGUAAAAGUUCUUUGGAAUAGGACAUCAUAGAGGGUGAGAAUCCCGUAUUUGACCAUUUCUUCCAGCUGUGUGAUACACUUUCAAAGAGUCGGAUUGUUUGGGAAUGCAGUCCAAAAUGGGUGGUAAAUUUCAUCUAAAGCUAAAUAUUGGCGAGAGACCGAUAGCGAACAAGUACCGUGAGGGAAAGAUGAAAAGAACUUUGAAAAGAGAGUUAAACAGUACGUGAAAUUGUCAAAAGGGAAGCGUUUGACACCAGUGUUGUUUUUCCGAAAAUCAAUUACAAAUGGGAUUUUGUUUUGAGGAGUUAUGACUUCAUCAGCUUUCUGCACUUUCUUUACUGAUCUUUCUUAAUGCACUUUUCGUUUAACAAGUCAACAUCAAUUUCUUUUGUUGUAAAAGGGUAUGAGGAAGGUGGCUUUCUUUUCGGAGAAAGUGUUUAUAGCCUUGUGCCUCUGCAAUCGGAGAGAUUGAGGUCUGCAGCGUAGAUCCUUCGGGGUUAGAUACAUUUGUGCUAAGUUAUAGCUUUUCAUAGACAACUUGUUGACUAUGUUUAGUCUUGUAGCUUACUCGCUUAUGCUAUUUUACCUACGCUUAGGAUGUUGAACGCGCACAGAGUCUC
rnacentral:rRNA from 1 species